rnacentral:lncRNA from 1 species
CCUCUUCUAUAGUCAGUGAUGGAUCUGGCGUAAUAAAGAAUCUUUUGAGGAGGGGGAUAAUAACACAUUCGUUAACAUUUAUUUUAGUGUAAUUACAUGCAAGUUCAGUAUGUUGUUAAUUAGCCAAUUAACAUGGAAGCUAAGAGGCCAUGACAAACUCCAACCUACGUAUAGAUGUGCGAUGCUCUUCUAAUGAUUAUAAGAAAACGUCCCCUUUAAGGAAAACAUAAUUAAAUUAGUUGGAUUGAUCCUAUGGAUCCGACUUCGAAUCCUUCUUCCCAUAUUUUAUAUUAGUUUAGCAAAAUAUCACUUGCUAGAAAAGAAAAAAAAUAUGCCCAUCUUGAAUUUAGUUUAUAAACUAAUUAAUGAAGGGAAAUAGUUGCUAAUUGAUCCAUCAAUUCCACAAUAGGAACAAUAAUUUAUUCAUAAAUUAGCUAAGAAUGAAAGGAAUGACUUAGUACCUGACCUCACGUAUAUCUGUCUUCCAAAAGCAUAUCUUGAAUCAUUGAUAUAGCUCUUCAUCUUAAAUAAUAAACGCUCGCUACUAAAGAGAAAAUCUAAAUUAAAUAAUGUGGUCAAGGGUUUUGAAGCAGUUUAUAUUCAUAUAUAUUUUUAAGGGCAUGGCAACUAGAAGUAGUAGUAAGGUCCCUCUCAUGCAUUUAAUACAUCCACAUGCAAUUUGCUUGCGAGACAUCUCUCAAACCAUCUAAAGAGGCUCACAAUUUCAAGUCCCUCUCGCUCAUCCAACUACAUGUUCCCGAAAUAACUAAAAUUACCUAACCGCAUGACCUAAGCCUUUACCACUUCCAUGCACCCCAAACGUAAGCCACAAGCUAUCUAGCUGGCAUAUCCAAAAACAAAUUUAACGCCCCUUACAUUCCUUUUCUUUUCCCACCCACUUGUACGCUCUCUCUCU